rnacentral:lncRNA from 1 species
AUAACUCUCAUUUUUUAUUUUAAUUUUUUUUGUUCUGGACAUUUCUUUCAGUCGUUCUAUUCAAUUGUGUACUGGUUAUUUUCUUGGCCUAUUGUGAAGCUGUUAUUCUGAGGCUUUUUCUUUUUCUGUCAUCAAGAGAAUUCUGUUUGAUGUUCUUCUAUGUUGAAUCUCCUUGUUUUCGUUUUGGAACUUGUGUCUUCCUUUUUCUGGGUUUAUUCCCUUAUUUUGAUAGUGAAUACCCUCAAGUAAACUUCUAAGAAAACUACAGAUUUGGAGCUUCAAAUGCCUUGGUGAAGUUUCUAAGAACUUGGAUGUCUAAAAAGAACAGGGCAGGAAAUUAUCCAACUUGCAAGAGAAUGCUAGCUGAAAAUCGUCCCAUCUUAUGGAAAACCGGUAGAAAAUCCAGGAGGUGAAAUGGAGAACAUGUUCAACUGGAGAAUUCUAUUUCUUAUGCAUGUCAAAUAUGUUUCCUUCUCCUGCACUAGCUGUUCCUUCUGCUGGAAGAAUAUUUAUAUGACUGGCUAAACUUACUGUUCAGAUCUGAGAGUAAAUUUGCAUUUCUCAGAGAGUUAGUUCCUGACCACCCAACUCAAAGUACUAACACUCUAUCUAGUCCUUUUCUUGUUUGUUUUUCAUGUUUAUUUUAUUUCCCACCACUAGAAUCUAAGCUUUUUGAGAGCCGGCACUUUGUCCAUCUGGGUCACUGAAUCCCAAUGAGUUAUUCACAGAUGUUUUUAGUACAUAGUAGGUGAAAUGCAUAGAUAAUAUUUCAACUAAGAAAGUGAACAGAAGAAAGUUGGUCAUUGACUUAUUACUAGUAGCUCACUACUCUCUAUGUAUGAAGACAUCACUUACUGAUGGUUAUGAAGCAGAUGCUCAAUAAUUUUUUUUUAAUAAACAGGAGGGCAAGGAGCCAAUGUCGUUUGUAGUGGAGGGUAGUCAUGGACACUGAGAGUAUGUUUUAGACACAAUUUAUCAAUGGCCAGCCUCAGGCUGAGAUAAAAUAUAACAGAGUUUGCCAAGGUCUUUCAUGCCCAGGCAGUCAGUGCUCACAUGUUCCCUGUAACUGCCUGGGUACCUUUCCCUGAGUCAUCAGUCCUGUGUCUUAAUUCUUUUAGUAGCACCUGCAUUCUGCUCCUUUAACCUUCCAUCAAUCAGCUCUUAUAUACUGUACAUCUCUUUCUCAAGAAGCCUUGUGCAACGCAUGGUGAUUUCAACAGUGAUGAAUAUUUCCUUCCCUCUGACUUCUUAUGAAACCAGGAUAAUGAAGCAAAUUAGAAUGUAUUUUAACAUCACUCUCCCUUGUUUGCUGUCCAGCUAAUGAACAGUGGACUGGCUGAAGAAAGACCAGCAUGAAGCAGAAAAAUUGUUUGGUGAAAAAUUCAAGAAUGGGCCAAUAUCCAUUAAAAGAUUGAAAGAGGAGAUGUUUUGGGUCCACCUCCACUGGGGACAGAAAUUCCAUUCUGCCAACACCCCCUCCAUAUCCAUUGUCUGAAAGAGGCACUGCUGUUGAGUCAUAAGUAGGCUCCAGUGGCCCAUGUUGACCCUUUGAAAUUCCCAUGGGACUGUCAAUUCUAUCUAUUCUGGGAGCAGCCAACCAUAGCUAAUUACAGGCCUGUGGUAUUAGUGGAACAAGCUUCAGCUUUUUACAUUGGCUUGAUGGAGAACUGAGUAGAUAUAAAAGUGUUACAUGUUUUUCUGUAAUCAUAAUAACGUAAUCUUGUUUCAUAAUCAUUAAUAAUUCCUAACAUUUAUUGAAGAGUUAAUAUGUGUUGAGUAUUUUUGUAAGUGCUUAACAUGCAGUUUUUAAAAUUUUAACUCCUUUUUACAGAAAAGGUUUACAGAACGCCAGAGGGGUAGGUGAUUUUGCCAGAGCUCUUUUAGGUAAUAGGAAACAAAGCCAUAAAUUUGAUCCCAGCUAGUUUGACCCCAUAGUCCAAGCAUUAAUCCCUGAACCACACUAGCUCUGGCAAGGGUAUAAAUGAGCAGUGAUUACUAACUGACUUAAAACACAAUAGGAAUUAUCCCCAGUGAAUUCCAACAUAUAAAGGGACACUAAUUCUUGCCAUAGAAAAUCUAUUUGAUAAGUAUGAACAAGAAUUCCAAGGUUAUCAAAAAUAAUUUCUAAUAGUUUAAUUCUUUAAAAGAAAUGGUGUAUCUCAUGGACACAGGAAGGGGAACAUCACACUCCGGGGACUGUUGUUGGGUGGGGGGAGCGGGGAGGGAGAGCAUUAGGAGAUAUACCUAAUGCUAAAUGACAAGUUAAUGGGUGCAGCACACCAACGUGGCACAUGUAUACAUAUGUAACAAACCUGCACAUUGUGCAAAU